rnacentral:misc_RNA from 1 species
GCUGCGCAGGUCGUCAUUUGCCAAUGUUAAUUGCUCUAAUACGGCUGGUGCCUGUUUAAAGUCGCGGCUUUCGCUUUGCUGUCCCGUUCAUUUGGGAUCUUCUCGGAGGAGUGUUUGGACGAUGCUCUAUAGAUUAGGUGACCUCUGGCAGAAACCAACAGCAGCGCUACUGGGCCGCUUUGCGUUCGACGUAGUUGGGCGCCAUUAAGUAUUACGGCUCAAGGCAGCUGUUUAACUCUACUGCAAUAUGGACCGUCUUACACAUGCCCCUGGAAGCAUUUGCUUCAUUCUUCUGUGGAAUAUGGUGAAUGGAGAUAACGACUUUCUUGAAAAAACGAGGAAGAAGUAUGCUAAGCCUGCACUCCCUUUUUGGGCUAUCAUCACUAUAAUCCUAAUUCUAUCCACAUUUGUGACAAGCUGUAUUAUGUUUUGGUGUGUCUUCUACCCAAGAAGACGACAAGCACUGGCAAUGACGCAAUCCAGCCCUUGUGUGCCACCAUUGUUGGGUCCAUCUCCAGGUCCAAUGGUGUCAGGUGCACCUGCCCAUUCCUACCUAGAAGCAUAUCCUCUUGUACCAGGUGCAUCCACAUCUCUGACUUCGCUGAACACACAGCGGAGGGGCUUUCAAGAAGAGAGAAGUCCUCCAUAUCCCAAGAAUGGACUCUACUCCGAUCAUAGCAGUGCAUCGCUGCCCCAGCUACCAACAGCGUCAAUGCCAUCUGCACCACCUCAGCCAUUACCCCCUUAUGGCAACUGAGCAAACAUGGAAUUGCCAUGGUGGCUUAGAGGCUAUGCCAAACUCUGCUGCUGGGUUGGAAGUUGCAAGAUUUGACCCAGAUGGGAGCACAAUGCGAAAAUGCUGCUGUGGUCAAGCAGAAUGUCCCUGCCACAGCCACCAAUAGCACCAAUGCCAUCUGCCAUUCACAAUCCUGACAUAAAAAUUAUGCAGAUCCAUCUAAAGCACAUGUUACAAUCUAUGUGAAGCGAAGAUUUAGUGAAGUGGUUAGUGGCGUGUCAUGGGACUAAGUGUGGUUCAUUCUCAUUAAUGCUUAUGCACCGCACAGGCCACAAGCUAUUCUGAAAUGCAAACACCAAAUGAGGCAGAUGCAGUGUGAGACGUCGACGCAGUGGUGUCCCGAUGACGAAGGCAAUUUAUACUUUUGGACGACAUGUUUCUAAAUACGUUUAGGGAUUCUAUACUCCUUGUGCAAUAGUGGCACAUACCUAUUGCAGAAGCUUGCCCAAGAAUUCGGGCAUGCCUUGUGGUGCAUAACCAUUGGUACAUACCAAUGGCCCAGGAACGGGGUAGUACAAAUGUAAGAAUAAGAAACUCAAAGGAAGCUAUUAAAUACUGUGCGCUAUUCCA